rnacentral:rRNA from 1 species
UAAGGUGGUUAUUGCGGCGGGGCUCACCUCUUCCCAUCCCGAACAGAGAAGUUAAGCCCGCCUGCGCAGAUGGUACUGCAAUUUGUGGGAGAGUAUGUCGUCGCCUUUCUUUAGAGAAGCCUGUCUGAAAAGACAGGCUUUUUGUUUUUAUUGGAACCACGUGUUCGCCCUUCG